rnacentral:lncRNA from 1 species
UUCCGGGGUGAGUGGUUUGUGGUGCCUGGAGCUGGGCGCGGAGGACGUGGUGGCUCGAGUUCCGGCGCCGUCGCGGCUCAUUUCUUGCUGCCGCCAUGCUCGACUUCUUCACCAUUUUCUCCAACGGCGGACUUGUGCUCUGGUGCGUCCAGGGUGUGAGUUUCUCUUGCACCGUGCCGUUAACGCGUUGAUUCGUUCCGUGCUGCUGCAGUGAAGUAGAGGAGAGCCGUAAGAUCUGUGCUCCCACUACCAUGAAGAAAUUUGAGAAUUCCGAAAAGGCCAAGAAACCGUUGAGAACCAUGAUUGAAAUAAGGGUUGGGGAGAAGCCCAGAGAAAAAGCAAAGAACAGCAAAAAAGGCAGGGGAGUGGCAAGAAGGAAGAAACCUAACAGGUUCUGA